CUAGAAGACUGAGAACAAGAGACACACGAUGGCCGAACUCAGAUGGAUUAUAAUGUUUUUCUUCUUUAUGCUAAACUUUACAGCAGCAGCAGAUAUAAUCUGGUCUGACUUUGUUGUCAGAGAUGGAGAUGAAGUCUCUCUGCCUGCUGAAUGUUUUAGAAACCAGAUGGAAACUUGUGAUAAAACUACCUGGAUAUUCACUGGUCAAAGAAAUACAAUAACACUGUUUGAAUGUGGGAAGAUUCAUAAAGAUUCCAGAACUAAAUCAGACAGACUGAGUGUUACAUCAGACUGUUCACUGGUUAUAAAGAAGAUCUCAGUGGAGGAUGUUGGUCUUUAUGUCUGCAGACAGUUUAAAUCAUCAGGACAAAAAGUAGCAGAAUCUGAGGCUGAUCUGUCUGUUAUUAACAUGACUGAACAGAAGAUCAGUGAUGAAACCAUCCUGAUCUGCUCUGUAUCAUCAUUUGGUGGAUGUUCUCACUCAGUGAAGUGGCUGUAUGAUAACAAAGAUGAUGAAAAUAUCAAAACCAUAACUCCUCCUCAG